rnacentral:pre_miRNA from 1 species
AGGAAGAACAACCACAGUGGCGGCCGCCAGCUCUGGAGCCCUGGGUACAGCUCCCGCAGUAACCACAGAGCUCUCCGUCUGCAGGGGCCUGGAUGCUUCGGGGGCGGG